GGGAUACAGACUAGAACGCAGCGCCGCACCAAAACUGGUUUGGGCUGCUCUCUUUCCUAUUCUCCUCCUCCAUUUUUCCUCUUUUCUUUCUAUUUUAUUUUGAGAUUUGAAGGAUUACUCACCCAAAGCUUCAAGGAUUCACUACUACAGAAACUAGCUUUGGGGACACGUGGUUCAAAAUUACAAGGACACAUUUUUAAAAAGAUGUCCUUAUAACUUUUUAACGACGCCCAGGUUCUAAAUUUUUCAUUUGUCUAAAAACCGGGCAGGUCAUUUCCAUUCGAUACCCUACGAAACUUUGACUUAACCCUGAUGCUCUCUCCUCCCAGCUUUCAUCUCUCCCUCGCAGACUCACAGCCGCAGCUAUCACUGAGAACCCAUAUCGAUAACCUUCAUGGAUCUCUAUUUGGCAGUCGUUUUCUCUUCUUCGUCUUCGAUUAACACUUCUCUGGUAAGGAUGAGUCACGUACUUCUCUGGAACUUUCAUUAUCAGAACUCUCUCUCUACCCCUUGGGCAUUCUCGUGUUCUACCUCUAAGAAUGAUUUCAACCAGGUUUAUCUUCUAAUCUUGCUUUAAUUUCAAUUCCGUGCUUCUAGGGUUUAAAUCUUUGAACAUAUUAGUAGCAAGACUGACUUGAUUUAUGCAAUAAAUAUAUUACAGAUCUACUUUUUCAAACCGAAAUAUCGCAUCCAUUACCCUAAUCAUCGUAUCUUUUGUAAUGUCAGAAUAUUUCCCCCAUAUUCUAGUUCUCUUAAUUUCAUACCAAGGAUCAGUCGAUGCUAAAGUUGCUAAAGAGUCAACAUUUAAAACAAGGACCAACGAGGGGAACUGUUGGUAAUGAUUCUAAUGAACCUUAGUCUACAAAAUCAAAGAAAACUUACUGUUAUACAUCAGAAUUAAGUUAUAAGAUGCUGCUAAAACUCAAAGUCUUUUUUAUUGUUACUUAAGUUGUAUAAAAAUUGAUGAUAUUUCUGGAGUUCGUGAUCCCUUAAUUUGGGUUCGAGGAUCUGGAAUGCUAGAUUUCCCUCUCUUGAUUGAUAGUGUUUUACUGUUACUAUGUUUUCAUGUUCAUAUAUUAGCUUAGGUUUCUGAAUCGAAGCUGCAACACUCAUUUUCCAAAUGCUGACUGAUGCAUGAAUUAGUGUGCAGACCAUAUGGUUACAGAAUAAACUACCACGGCCAGGCGGCAAUGAUGAAAAUUGACAAAGAAAAUAGUAAUCUUGACAUCAGGAUUGAAGCUUCACAUUGUGUCACCAGAUUGUAACCUAUAUAAUAAUGGAUGGAGACUUGGUUUGCCCUGCAAAGAUGGUGCAAAGAUGGGAAGAUCUGUAGAGGUUGAGGACUAGCAAAAGAAAGUUCAAAAAGCCAGUAAAGUACAUUAACUACCGGGAUUAUAUACGGUAAUUACUUUUGCCUAUGUCCUAAGUUUGGGAUCAUACAGAUUACAUUUCAAAAUAUGACUGCUUUAUAGGGGCAAAUCACAUAGUUCCAGAUGGAACUUUGUUUUGCUUCUUUCUUUAGCCUCUGCCAAAAGUGCAUGAUUUGCCUUAAGAAAAUCUAUCUUAGUUAUUAUGGUAUAGGUGAUAUGUGGGCGGAGUUUCAAAUAAGUUUAUAUCUUAGAAAAUGGAAUCAAUAAUACUGUGGUAUGUUAUUUAUGCAAUUGAGGACUUUCUAUGAAAAGGCUAGAAGGUUUAUGGUGCCAUGCCCUCUACUUAUUACGUUCUAACUCUUGCUUGUGUUUCCAAACAACUGAUGUUGUACAUUCUUUCACUAAUAAUUAUGUUAUAGGUGCUUACUGUCUCCAACUGUGUGUGAUUCAAAUUCAUUUAUAUACGUGUGGGAAUUUGAUUUCGUCUACCCCUAAAGAAAAUGCAGUAAUAUAAGUUCUCUUCUUAGUCAAAUUGAGUGGUAAAACAUAUAUUUCUUCUCUGUUAAUUGAUAAACUGCAAUUUUGACAAGAUUGGACAACUAUCUACAACAAUAUUGUUGAUUUUCUGGUAUAGGUCUUGUGAUUGAAGAUUGAAUUUUCUGCUUUAGUCAUAUCGUUGCUUUUCUGAAACUAUUGUAAUAUAGGUACUUCUACCCAUCAAUUUUAGCUUCAUGAGUAUCAAAAACUAAAAAGACAUGCUAAGUACCAGCUUGAGUUUCUUCAGGUGUUUCCUCUUUGUCAUCAGUCUAUUUACAUGUUCCACGCGCAUGAUGCUCCUCUAGGUGUAGGCAUUUGAAUUAGUACGUUGCUUCAUGCUAUGAAUAGAUUACAUAAGAUUAGAAUGUAUAACUAGGAAUUAGUUGCUACAAUGUGCUUGUAGUCAAGUAUAUUGUAAUGAGUAAUAGCAUUUGUUUUGGGAUUGUAAAGAUGAUUUUUAUGUAAAUGUCUUUUUUUCCUUUCAA